UACGUAGGGGGCAAGCGUUGUCCGGAUUUAUUGGGCGUAAAGAGCGUGUAGGCGGCCAUACAGGUCCGUUGUGAAAACUGGAGGCUUAACCUCCAGACGUCGAUGGAAACCGUAUGGCUAGAGUAUGGAAGAGGUGAGUGGAAUUCCGAGUGUAGAGGUGAAAUUCGUAGAUAUUCGGAGGAACACCAGUGGCGAAGGCGGCUCACUGGUCCAUUACUGACGCUGAGGUGCGAAAGCGUGGGGAGCAAACAGG
rnacentral:rRNA from 1 species